rnacentral:lncRNA from 1 species
GCUUUCCAAGCUUCACUCUUACUCAAGAAACAGUUGUAGAAUCAAAAAACCCCACCUUCUAUAAAACAAAAGAGUCCAUGUUUCACGCCUCUCCACACAGCAGCACUUAGCAGGUGCCUGGCACAUAACAGCACUCGUAACUGUCAGUGUAUCACCACUGCUGAUGAAUGUGGUGGGAGAAGGAAGUAAAAGCAAGAUUUAUCAGCUGUUAACUAACUUUGAGGGUUUUAAUAUGAUUUGUUUAUCAAAAACUUGGAUUUUAUCAAGUGAAUUAUUACAUGCUGAAGGCUUUAGAACCUUCCUGUUAAUGGAUAAGUAGGAAAGUCGUUCUAGCAGAAGUUAUGGCCCCAAACAAUGCUGAUCUCCAUUCAUAUCACAAAGAUGUCUCCUAACUACCUGGCACAAGCCCUAACAACGUCCUUUUUUUGGUGUGAUUCUAAAACAAGACCAGUUGAGUAUGCCUGACAAUCCAUUUUCUCUUCCUCCUAUGGAAAAUUCUUACACUGAUUGUUAGCUGUCUGAUACCAGUUGAGUAUGCCUGACAAUCCAUUUUCCUCUUCCUCUUAUGGAAUAUUCUUACACUGAUUCUUAGCUGUGAUAAAUCCUUUGAAAUUUAUGCAUUAACCUGAAUAAUAAGUUCAGAUGAUUUUUAUGGGAGAAUCAAUAGUGGCUAUGACAAAGCUUCCCUCAUGGAAUAAAGGCUUUAGUGUAGUCUAAUUUUUUCCAAGAUGACCUCUUAAUCAAAGAGGAAUAACUUGACCAAAUGAAUAUUUAAGUAUACUCUCAUCUACAUGCACCAGAAAGCCAAGUCUUUAGGAUUUAUGUAAACAUCUUGAUCAGAAGCCACCACAAAUUAUUUAAUAGAUAUUUCUUUUAUUUCCAUAUGCCCAUAUGACCCUAGAUAUAUACCAUAAAUCAGUAUAACAUAAUCAACACUUCCUCAAACUUAUCCUAAACACCACCAUAAAACACUAUUCUUAAACUUAAAACUAUAACUACUCUUAAAAAAUAUAUUUUUUUACUGAAGUAUACUUGAUCUAUAGUAUUGUGUUAGUUUCAGGUAUAUAGCACAGUGAUUCAGUUUAUUACAAAGUAUUGAGCAUUGUUCCCUGUGCUGUACAGUAGGUCCUUGUUGGUUAUCUGUUUUAUACAUAGCAGUGUGUACAGGUUAAUCCCAACCUCCUAAUUUAUCUUUCCUCCUGCCCUUUUCCCUUUUGGUAAUUAUAACUUUGUUCUCCAUGAUGUGAGUCUCUUUCUGUAUAACUGUUCUUAAACCAUAAACUUAUCCUAAAUACCACAUAAAGACCACUUUUGCAUAUGUGACUAUCAUGUGAACAAUAAAACAUUACAGAUGGAAUGAAGUGGAACCUCUUCAUCAUCACUGGUUAUAUUCUCAAGUUCAUACAAUUAAGCUCUUUGGAAUGGCUUCACUACUAGCCUUCUACUAAUCUAUUUAAGUCAUUGUAAAGCCAAAAUAAGAUCUGAAAAGGUGGUACACAUAAGAGCAGUUAGGAGCACAGAUUACAAGAGAUUAAAUAACAGCAAGUUAUUUAAUCUCUGCUGUAUCAGUUUCCUUAUCUGAAAAAUUGAUAAUAAAUGUACCUACCUCACUGAAUUGCUCUAAGGAUUAAAUACACUUAAAAUUACAUAUUUUAAGUGCAGCUUCAGUGUUAGAAAGUAUUAGCGUUACCUCAUCUGUCUUUGCUAACUAUCUGCUCAACUCAGGUCUUGGUUCAGGAAUGGCAAUAAACAGAAAAUAUAAACUAAAAGCUAAAAUAUAACAACAUCUAACACCAUAUUCACAAGCACGAAAAACAAUUGGACAAGAGUCAAAAGACCUUAUUUUCCACAAAGACACAUUAUCCAACCCUCCUUAAGUUUUUUAUUUAAACCAAUAAAUGGGAGCUCUGCUGUGGUGCAAUGGGAUCAGCAGUGUCUUGGGAGCGCUGAGACGUGGGUUCAAUCCUCAGCCCCGGAAGUGGUUUAAGGAUCUGGUGUUGCCACAGAUGCGGCAUAGUUUGUGGCUAUGGCUUAGAUCUGAUCCCUAGUCUGGGAACUCCAUGUGCAGUGGGAGGCCAAUAAAUUAAUAAAUAAAUAAACCAAAAAACAACAAGGAAACACCAUUUGACCUUCAGGUUCACCCAACAGCCACAAAGGAGUUCCUCUUGAGUCAACAGCCACAAAGGAAUACCUCUUGGUGUCUAAGGGAAACAUAGAAAAUAGAUCCCCAUAAACCUACUGAUAGAAAGUUUUUCUUGUCUUUCAAACCCAAACACAACUUAUUCAAGUUUUUCAGUCAUCAUAUGCAAUCCCAUUACGUAGAGCUAUAAUGAUAAUACACUACAACUCUGAUAAGGCCUAAUCAUUGAGAAGUCACCUUUGGCCACCAUGAUGCUUACAUUCAUUCUGAUAGGUCAGUCCCAAUCCAUACUCAAUUAUUUCCUGUAAUUACCUCCUUCAAAGCGGGUCAUAAUUCUUUUAGACAUGCUCAUUUUUCAAAAUAAUAUAUUUGUUUUUAUAUAAAAUUUUAACAUUCAAUACAAUAUUUUGUCCUUAAUAAACUCUCAGUCUAGAUCCUUCACUCUUCUAGCAUUCCCAUUGGCCAGCAGGAGUUAAGCAUCACUACAGCACUAGUGAUGACAUAUUCCAAGAACAAUGUAAAACUUCUCACAUCAUAUGUAUCAAUCAACUCUUAUUGAUUCCACAUACAGAAGAAUGUGAAGGUCCAAACUGCAUAAGGCUUGAGUCUAGGUAAUUAAUGCUCCUGAAAAGCUUAUCCAAAUAGCAUCACCAAAAGCAGAGUGAAAAGAGCUUCCUAACUUAUUUUCCAUCCUAAAUAGCACAAAAUAUGGCCGACAGUCUACCUGUUCCUUCUUUGCAAACCACAAUUAAAUAAUCUCUUCAAUCUUUAGAUGAAGACGAUGCAUCUCAGAGAAGACAAGUGGCCUCACACAACAGAAAAAGCCUCAAAGAGGCACUGAGUUUAUUGUUAAUGACUCAGAAAAAGCAGUUUAAGGUCAUCUGGGCCCAAACCAAAACCUUUGGUUUUUAAUAGUUCAAGAUAUAGGCUCUCCCUGAUGGAUAAGAAAGAUGCCAAGAGUAUUGAAAUGAAUUCCCACUGAACACUUAGUGAGGAUCCAUUUGUGAAGGGUCUGCCUAUGCCACCCUUUGCUAAGCAAUGAGGAUACAAAAGUAAAUAAAACAUUACAAGAAGUUUAAAAUCUCAUGGAGGAGAGAGAUGUGCAUAGCUAUAGGGCAGGGUGUAAGUAAGUAUUUCAAAAGCAUCUACUAGUCACAUUUGGUGGCAGACACAUGUGUUGCCUUUUCAUGUAAGAAUUAUAAUUAGGAUGAACACUUCUGGAAAAGAUAUAGAUUAGGCUUAAAAGAAAGGCAACACCCAAAGAAAUCUGUAUAAGCAUCCAGCUCAGUCACAACAACAAAAUAAUUAUUAUUAUAAGAAAAGGACCAUAACUAGGCUUCAGUUUUUUCAGAGGCAAAAACAUCCCUAACUGCUGGAAGACAAAGAAGCCAGGGUGCUUCUUGUUUGUAGCCACCACACCAGGGCAUUUUUCUUCUUUGGUUUCAGAGAGCCUUUGGUCCAAAACAUAGAGGGCUGAAGAAGCCUCAGACUUUGAAAUACAGUCAAAGUCACAGCUAGUCAAGAAGAGGAGACUUAUAUGUAACAGUCUUUGUUUCAUUUACCCAUUCAUUCAUUCAUUCAUUCAUUCAAAAAAUACUUAAUUGACCAUAAGCAAGGUAUCAGGUCUUGUCCUAAAAUUUGGGAAUACAAACAAGAAUGGAACAACCAGAUUACAUUUUAGUGGGAGAAACACAAUCAACAAAGGCUGAGCCAGAGCUAAUAAGGUGUGGCACCUCAGAUGCAGAGGAAAUGGAGAGUCAGACAACAAAUUCUCUUUCCUGAGAGGUGUAAAUCUUAGGAAGCCUUCCCUAACUUCAGCCUGGGCUAUUCCUUCCAGCUCUGGCUGCUGCUUACUCUGUUGCUAGUUUGGGAAUUACUCCUUACAGAUUGUGGCUAUUCAUCUUUUUCUAGGUAUAAAAUCAGCUGGUCUUCUUCUUGAGGUCAGGCAUGGUAAUUACAUGUAUUUGAAUAUGCUGUCCAUCAAAAGAACAAGUAACAGUCAAAGAGUUGCCGACUGAAGAACUGACAAAUUACAAGUAUGCCGAAGCAAGCAAAAAGUGGUAUUCUGAUUAGUUUUCUUAAAAGGAAUCUGACUCUUCUGAAUUUCCCCCUACAACCCAUCCUCACUGGCCAAACUGGAAUAGAGACGUCUCCACCAAAUAUAUCUACCGACUUCUAUGUUCUAAUGAACUUCUUUCUUUAAACUUCAGUUCAUUCAGCUGUUACAAAGUGGUAUAACUACAUUAUAGGAAAAAGCUCCCACCAA